UACGGAGGGAGCUAGCGUUGUUCGGAAUUACUGGGCGUAAAGCGCACGUAGGCGGCUUUGUAAGUUAGAGGUGAAAGCCCGGGGCUCAACCCCGGAAUUGCCUUUAAGACUGCAUCGCUUGAAUCCGGGAGAGGUGAGUGGAAUUCCGAGUGUAGAGGUGAAAUUCGUAGAGAUCGGAAAGAACACCAACGGCGAAAGCACUCUGCUGGGCCGACACUGACACUGAGAGACGAAAGCUAGGGGAGCGAAUGGG
rnacentral:rRNA from 1 species